GUGAGGAAUAUUGGUCAAUGGGCGCAAGCCUGAACCAGCCAUGCCGCGUGCAGGAAGACGGUCCUAUGGAUUGUAAACUGCUUUUAUUUGGGAAUAAACUCCGGUACGUGUACCGGCCUGAAGGUACCAAAUGAAUAAGCACCGGCUAACUCCGUGCCAGCAGCCGCGGUAAUACGGAGGGUGCAAGCGUUAUCCGGAAUCAUUGGGUUUAAAGGGUCCGCAGGCGGUCUUAUAAGUCAGUGGUGAAAGCCUACAGCUCAACUGUAGAACUGCCAUUGAUACUGUAGGACUUGAAUUCGAUCGAAGUGGGCGGAAUGUGACAUGUAGCGGUGAAAUGCUUAGAUAUGUCACAGAACACCGAUAGCGAAGGCAGCUCACUAGGUCUGGAUUGACGCUCAGGGACGAAAGCGUGGGGAGCAAACAGGAUUAGAAACCCGUGUAGUCC
rnacentral:rRNA from 1 species